rnacentral:lncRNA from 1 species
UGGAACUUUUAUAAUUCACUUUAUCUUUUAGCAUGUUAUAAAUUAAAGUCGAGAGUUUGAGUAAUUCGGUGAUAACUUAUAUGGCUGCUUAAGCACCUUUAAGUUCCAAUAGCUCAUAGACCCUUUCCGAAGUUGAGUCUGCAAUUGAAACAAAUAUCUAAUUUCAUCUGUUGCCUGUCAUUUAAUCUUAAAUUACAAGAAGUACUCACCAGGAGAAGAACACAGCAUACUAGCGUAUAUCAAAACAGAAAAUAUGUACUUUGUUUCCAUUAGGUCACUAGUAAAUUAUCCGUGUGGAAUAACUUAUAGAAGAAUGACAACUUAAAGGAGAAACUAUUAUGUGAC